AGUGAAUAUAUUCACGGCAAGUUACAGAUUUUUGAUUGACAAGGGUGUUAAGGGGACAGGCAGAACAGUGAAGUUAAGGCUAAAAUGAAGACCAGAGGAAGUAGGAACAGGAGAAGGAUGAUCAGCUCUUGGAACCUCUUCCACCAUUAUGGCUAAUCCAACAUUCCUUAUGUCUACUUCCUGCCUGUCUCACUGUAACAACACAUUGCAUUUUCCCCCACCCCAUUUCAGCUUAUCAACUGCUGAAACCUUCAUGUUUAUUUCCUUCCAACCAAUUCUCACAUUGUGCAAAUCCUCAGCUUCCAGGGUCAGCAUGUUUUCAAUUUGCUCCCCAAGCCUCUUGCACUCAUCACCAUUGGUUCCUCUAUGCGUCUAGAAACCUCAUCCCUACAACCAAACUGCUGUGCCAAAAUCUCUAACUAUCCCAUGGUCAAUUUUUGAUUGAUCGUGUUCUCAUGAAAGGCUAUGGGGUAUUCUGCUGAACUGAAAGUGACAUAUAAAUGCAGAAUGAUGUAAAUGUCAAUUCUGAAACUUACUUUCCUUUCUCAUGAAUAAAAUUAUGUCUUGUUUGAUUUUU